GGUGGUUGUAGUGUUUUGUCCUACUGACAUAGUUUGAAUAUAUGUUCCCAUCAAAUCUCAUGUUGAAUUGUAAUCCCCAGUGCUGGAGGUGGGGCCUGGUGGGAAGGGUUUG